rnacentral:misc_RNA from 1 species
CCGAGUUUACAACUCCCAAACCCAUGUGAACAUACCUUUAAACGUUGCCUCGGCGGGAACCGAUCGCCCCGUAACACGGGCCGGCCCGCCAGAGGACCCCUAAACUCUUGUAUUAUUUGGUUUCUUCUGAGUAAAACAACAAAAUAAAUCA